AUAAGGGCAAAACUCCGUCUCCAAAAAAUAAAUAAAUAAAAUAAAGUGCCUAUUAACGGAUCUGGAUCUGUUGAUGUUUGGCAGGUGCCCCUAGUCUGCUCUGCCGGUAUCUUCACCCAGAAACCAGUGAGCUGAUGUUUUCUUUCCUUCUCUUCCUCUCACUGGGCCCAGGACUUCAUACAUAUUAGCAGUUUAAUCCAUCAGGGAGAGAGACCACCCCUCCUAGAGCACAUGCCCCACGCCACAGGAAGGCGAACAUCCAGUGAGGGUUGGACUCCUAACCCUGAGCACUCUCCUGUGAUUAGAUAGCAGAUAGAGGCUGACGCCGCACCAUGGCGGACGAGGAGCUUGAGGCGCUGAGGAGACAGAGGCUGGCCGAGCUGCAGGCCAAGCAUGGGGAUCCUGGCGAUGCGGCCCAACAGGAAGCAAAGCACAGGGAAGCAGAAAUGAGAAACAGUAUCUUAGCCCAAGUUCUGGAUCAGUCGGCCCGGGCCAGGUUAAGUAACUUAGCACUUGUAAAGCCUGAAAAAACUAAAGCAGUGGAGAAUUACCUCAUACAGAUGGCAAGAUACGGACAACUGAGUGACAAGGUCUCAGAACAAGGUUUAAUAGAAAUCCUUAAAAAAAGUAAGCCAACAAACAGAAAAGACAACAAUGAAAUUCAACAGGAGAAAAGUAAUGGACUCCGAUGAAGAUGAUGAUUAUUGAACUACAAGUGUUUACAGACUAGAACUUAACGGAACAAUUCUAGGACAGAAGUUAAGAUGUGAUUAAAUAUUUACUUUGUUUAUUGUCUAUAUGCCUUUUAAAAAAAUAAACUUGU